GAGGGGUUCUCUCUUAGGUAAGAUGGGGACGUUCAGGCGAUUGGUUUGCAAACACCGCAGAAACAUUAUGAAAAUCAAUUGCAGAUUUGUAUUCGUUUUCCCUCUCUCGCUCCCCUCCUCUCCAUUCCACAGAGCGAGCAAAGGAGGAGAGAGAGGCUUAGGGUGGGGUGGGCGGUGGGAUGGGCAGGGGCGGUGGCUGGGAGGGGGUAGAUGUAUUUUUCCUAGCUGCUGCGCUCUCUUCCCCAGGAUUGGGGGAAGGAGGAGGGCUCUCACGGAAGGGGUUCUAGCCUCCUCCCCUGCGUCAGCAGAGACUAGGAUGGGGAUGAGGACCUCUUUCCCCACCGCCUGAUCCCGCCAGAGACGUUAAUCCUUCACCCCCAACUCUCAGGGACCGGGAGGGAGCCCGGGAGCCCACCGGCCGGAGAGGGGCCAGCGCCUACUUGGAAGAGUUGGAAUAAAUCAAUCCUUUUUCCCCCGCCGGGGCUGGGUGUCAAGACUACCUUUCCCUUGGGAGAGACUCCUCAGAAGAGUAUCUGAAGUUUCUCCAAGGUUCUGGACAGGGUCCAAGGGGCUGGAGCAACUGUCAGGAGCAGAGAGCAACCUUGGAUCCAAGGAGGAGCUGUCAGAGCAUGAUUUGUUCUGGAAAAAGGGGAGGAACCGAAGCCCCCAAAAGACUCAGCUCAUUGCAACUCAGGAACAGCCAGGAACGACCCAAAUUAUCUUCACACCCAAAUUUGGAUUAAAAUUUGUUUCCACUUUUGAAAU